AGCAGCCGCGGUAAUUCCAGCUCCAAUAGCGUAUAUUAAAGUUGUUGCAGUUAAAAAGCUCGUAGUUGAAUUUCGGGGUUAGUAGGUUGGUCAUGCCUCUGGUAUGUACUGGUCUCACUGAUUCCUCCUUCCUGAUGAGCCGUAAUGCCAUUAAUUUGGUGUUGCGGGGAAUUUGGACUGUUACUUUGAAAAAUUAGAGUGUUUAAAGCAAGCUAACGCUUGAAUACAUUAGCAUGGAAUAAUGAAAUAGGACGUUCGAUCCUAUUUUGUUGGUUUCUAGGAUUGACGUAAUGAUUAAUAGGGAUAGUUGGGGGCAUUAGUACUCAAUUGUCAGAGGUGAAAUUCUUGGAUUUAUUGAAGACUAACUACUGCGAAAGCAUUUGCCAAGGAUGUUUUCAUUAAUCAAGAACGAAAGUUAGGGAUCGAAGACGAUCAGAUACCGUCGUAGUC
rnacentral:misc_RNA from 1 species